UCGGAUAUGGUGUAACGGCUAACAUUGCCGCCUCUCAUCACUGCGUCGCGGCAGCUCGGGGUUCGAUUCCCCGUAUCCGAA